AACAAGUCUAGAUAUGGGAUCAAGGUCAUGUCAUCUUGCCUGUGUAUCCUCAGCUUGGAAUGGUUCUGGAUCGUCCUACACGUACUCUCCUGACUCCACGUAUUCGGUCUCCGCUCCCGGUGCUACCCAAUACAAAAGAACAGCCAAUGAACAGCAGCACCACAAAAUGCAACAAUCACAUGAUGCAUGAGAUGAAAGUUGAGCAUGCACCACUAUUUCUAACACUAGCACAAGCAAGAAUAACUACAACAAGUUCCUGGACAGAACUUUGCACUAAACUAUUUGGACAUGCAUGGGAAUGAUAUGAACAGAUGCAUCUCGUAAAAAC
rnacentral:lncRNA from 1 species